AGUCUUUAAGCAUUAUAAUGCUUAUAUUUUGAAAAUAUAAAAAAGAGGUUAAAACCCUCUAAUGACUU
rnacentral:tRNA from 1 species